rnacentral:rRNA from 1 species
AGCAGCCGCGGUAAUUCCAGCUCCAAUAGCGUAUAUUAAAGUUGUUGCAGUUAAAAAGCUCGUAGUUGAAUUUCGGAAUUUGUCGGUUGGUCGGGCUUCACUGUCUGCACUGGCCUGAUGGAUUCCUACCUUCUGAAUAACCAGCAUGCUAUUAAUUUAGUGCGUUGGGGAAGCAGAGCUAUUACCUUGAAAAAUUAGAGUGCUUAAAGCAGGCUCACGCUUGAAUAGAUUAGCAUGGAAUAAUAAAAUAGGACGGCUUGGUUCUAUUUUGUUGGUUUCUAGGAUCACCGUAAUGAUUAAUAGGGAUAGUUGGGGGCAUUAGUAUUCAAUUGUCAGAGGUGAAAUUCUUGGAUUUAUUGAAGACUAACUUCUGCGAAAGCAUUUGCCAAGGAUGUUUUCAUUAAUCAAGAACGAAAGUUAGGGGAUCGAAGACGAUCAGAUACCGUCGUAGUCUUAACCAUAAACUAUGCCGACUAGGGAUCGGAUGAUGUUAAUUUUUAAUGACU